UUGAACGCUGGCGGCAGGCCUCACACCUGCAAGUCGAGCGGAUGAAGGGAGCUUGCUCCUGGAUUCAGCGGCGGACGGGUGAGUAAUGCCUAGGAAUCUGCCUGGUAGUGGGGGAUAACGUCCGGAAACGGGCGCUAAUACCGCAUACGUCCUGAGGGAGAAAGUGGGGGAUCUUCGGACCUCACGCUAUCAGAUGAGCCUAGGUCGGAUUAGCUAGUUGGUGGGGUAAAGGCCUACCAAGGCGACGAUCCGUAACUGGUCUGAGAGGAUGAUCAGUCACACCGGAACUGAGACACGGUCCAGACUCCUACGGGAGGCAGCAGUGGGGAAUAUUGGACAAUGGGCGAAAGCCUGAUCCAGCCACGCCGCGUGUGUGAAGAAGGUCUUCGGAUUGUAAAGCACUUUAAGUUGGGAGGAAGGGCAGUAAGUUAAUACCUUGCUGUUUUGACGUUACCAACAGAAUAAGCACCGGCUAACUUCGUG
rnacentral:rRNA from 1 species